rnacentral:rRNA from 1 species
UACGAAGGGGGCUAGCGUUGCUCGGAAUCACUGGGCGUAAAGGGCGCGUAGGCGGAUCUUUUAAGUCGGGGGUGAAAGCCCAGGGCUCAACCCUGGAAUUGCCUUCGAUACUGAAGAUCUCGAGACCGGAAGAGGUAAGUGGAACUGCGAGUGUAGAGGUGAAAUUCGUAGAUAUUCGCAAGAACACCAGUGGCGAAGGCGGCUUACUGGUCCGGUUCGACGCUGAGGCGCGAAACGUGGG